GACGAACGCUGGCGGCGUGCCUAAUACAUGCAAGUAGAACGCUGAAGGAGGAGCUUGCUUCUCUGGAUGAGUUGCGAACGGGUGAGUAACGCGUAGGUAACCUGCCUGGUAGCGGGGGAUAACUAUUGGAAACGAUAGCUAAUACCGCAUAAGAUUGACUAUUGCAUGAUAGUCAGUUAAAAGGUGCAAUUGCAUCACUACCAGAUGGACCUGCGUUGUAUUAGCUAGUUGGUGGGGUAACGGCUCACCAAGGCGACGAUACAUAGCCGACCUGAGAGGGUGAUCGGCCACACUGGGACUGAGACACGGCCCAGACUCCUACGGGAGGCAGCAGUAGGGAAUCUUCGGCAAUGGACGGAAGUCUGACCGAGCAACGCCGCGUGAGUGAAGAAGGUUGUCGGAUCGUAAAGCUCUGUUGUAAGAGAAGAACGAGUGUGAGAGUGGAAAGUUCACACUGUGACGGUAUCUUACCAGAAAGGGACGGCUAACUACGUG
rnacentral:rRNA from 1 species